UGGCCCUGCCAUCACGUUAGUGUGUGUGAUUGACAGCUGCUGAUUGACAGCAGUGGGCGGGCAUAAUCUAUUUAUAUGAAUGGACCCUUGCUUCCUGUCUCGUUUCCGCCACACAUUGUUUUGGCGUGAGCCUGGGCUGCGUUUGUUGCCGAGGGGCCGCAGAUGAACCGUGAGGUGCGGCGUUCACUCAGCACUUGUGAUCGCUUGGGAGCGCACUGAUAAACUCCAAGGAGCUAGGAGCUGUGUGGACACUGGGUGAGUUGUGCUUCCAUUCCUGCGAUUAGAUAUGCUCCCUCUCAUUAUUGCGGCGCCCUAAUGUGAACUGUUUUGAUGCUUGUAAUUAGUUGGCCUGCUCGUGGAAGUAGUUGGUGUGGCGUGGUGAUCCUCGAAAGCGUUGUGCUGGUGACUCGCGUGUCUGAGCCUUCAUCCGCGGCCCCUCCGGCACGAACCAACCAGUGUGUCUGUGCCUACGGGUCUGUCGGCUGCUGUUUCGCCUGGGACAAUUUGGGUUUGAGUCUCCCCUUGCUUUGCACCUGCAGCGCUGUGGCUUGGCCGUGCUUCGCUGGGUACGGGGAGGAAUUGCGCUUGUAGCCACGCUUGCCCCUUCACCUCGCUUUGCCUGCACGGAGCGUGCAUGUCUGUCGCAACUGUCCGAGGGUGCACGGUUUCAGUGGCUCCGCCUGUUUUUAACCCCUUUUGUGCUGUGCGUUAUUUAUUUUCAUUUCAUUUAUUUCUGCAUGCUUAUUUGUUUGCUGUGCUUCUGCAUGCUGCUUACUCUGCUAGGUUUGCUGCUUUGCAUGACUCUUUAACUGCUUGUGCCAGUGUAGCUAGACCCUGUUAUUCAGGGCUUUAUAUGUGUGCAGUGCUUCUUUUGUUUAUUUAUGUUUCUUUUCAGUUUACUUAUUUGUGUGUUUCUGUGCUUUUGAUUAAUUUACUACUUUUGCAUUUCAUGUGUUUGUUUGGGGUUAAUGUGGGAUUGGGGAAAAUUAUGACUGCCAGCCUCUCCAGCAGUUCGGAGUGUGUCAAGGGCGUGUGGGUGCGAUGGGAGAGUGACGGUAACGUGUAUUGUUUUAUAGUGUGGUGGAACAUGGUAUAUAGUGCAUCGACAGCCUGGUGGUAGAAGGAAGUUCCUGCGUGUGCACACGAUGUAAGAUAAGUAGUACUGCAGCUCCAUAUAGGUUAGUGAUCUCAGUUGUGCCCCAGGCUGUUCGUCUCUCUCUCUCUCUCUCU